ensembl:lncRNA
UGGAGGUGUGUGUUACCAGGUGGAGGUGUGUGUGUUACCAGGUGGAGGUGUGUGUUAUCAGGUGGAGGUGUGUGUUACCAGGUGGAGGUGUGUGUUACCAGGUGGAGGUGUGUGUUACCAGGUGGAGGUGUGUGUUAUCAGGUGGAGGUGUGUGUUACCAGGUGGAGGUGUGUGUUACCAGGUGGAGGUGUGUGUUACCAGGUGAAGGGGUGUGUGUUACCAGGUGGAGGAGUGUGUUAUCCGGUGGAAGUGGAGGUGUGUGUUACCAGGUGGAGAUGUGUGUUACCAGGUGGAGGUGGAGGUGUGUGUUAUCCGGUGGAGGUGUGUGUUAUCCGGUGGAGGUGUGUGUUACCAGGUGGAGGUGUGUGUUACCAGGUGGAGGUGCGUGUUACCAGGUGGAGGUGUAGGUGUGUGUUACCAGGUGGAGGUGUGUGUUACCAGGUGGAGGUGUGUGUUACCAGGUGGAGGUGUGUGUUAUCAGGUGCAGGUGGAGGUGUGUGUGUUACCUGGUGCAGGUGGAGGUGUGUGUUACCAGGUGGAGGUGUGUGUGUUACCUGGUGCAGG